rnacentral:rRNA from 1 species
AUUAAAGGAAAUAAGAGCGCACAGUGGAUGCCUAGGCACCAAGAGCUGAUGAAGGACGCAAUUAACGGCGAUACGCUACGGGGAGCUGUAAAUAAGUGUAGAUCCGUGGAUUUCCGAAUGGGGCAACCUACUAUAAGAAGUUAUAGUAUCAAUUGUUAGGCAACUAACUGAUUGAAAGGAACGCAGUGAACUGAAAUAUCUAAGUAACUGCAGGAACAGAAAGUAAUAACGAUUCCGGUAGUAGUGACGAGCGAAUCCGGAACAGCCGGAUACCAAUAACUAGUUACCAAAUUUUAAUUAACUCGAAAUAGUUGGAAAGCUAUAUCCCAGAAGGUGAAAAUCCUGUAGAGGUAAGUUAAAAUCUAGGGUAUCCUCAAGUACGGCGAGACACGAGAAAUCUUGUUGGAAGAUAGGAGGACCAUCUCCUAAGGCUAAAUACUCCUUGGUGACCGAUAGUGAACUAGUACCGUGAGGGAAAGGUGAAAAGAACCCCGGAAGGGGAGUGAAAUAGAUCCUGAAACUGUGUGCUUACAAGUAGUCAAAGCUCGUUUAAGAGUGAUGGCGUGCCUUUUGCAGAAUGAACCGGCGAGUUAUGAUAUAGAGCAAGGUUAAGUUUGAAGGAACGUAGCCGUAGCGAAAGCGAGUCUGAAUAGGGCGUUUAGUUGUAUGUCAUAGACCCGAAACUGAAGUGAGCUAGCCAUGAACAGGCUGAAGUGACGUGACCGACGUNNNNNNNNNNNNNNNNNNNNNNNNNNNNNNNNNNNNNNNNNNNNNNNNNNNNNNNNNNNNNNNNNNNNNNNNNNNNNNNNNNNNNNNNNNNNCCGCGUCAUGGAGGGCCGAACCAGGACACGUUGAAAAGUGUUUGGAUGAUUUGUGGCUAGAGGUGAAAUUCCAAUCGAACUCAGAGAUAGCUGGUUCUCCCCGAAAUAGCUUUAGGGCUAGCGUUGGGUAUUUAAUAGUUCUUGAAGGUAGAGCACUAAAUGAGUGCGGGCUCCACCUCGGGGUACCAAUCUCAAUUAAACUCCGAAUGUCAAGAACCGUAUCCCAGCAGUCAGACGAUGGGUGAUAAGGUCCAUGGUCAAAAGGGAAAGAGCCCAGACCGUCAGCUAAGGUCCCUAAAUUAAUGUUAAGUGGUUAAGGAAGUAAAAACGUUAAAACAAUUAGGAAGUUGGCUUAGAAGCAGCCAUCUUUUAAAGAGUGCGUAAUAGCUCACUAAUCUAAUAUUUUUGCACCGAAAAUGUAACGGGGCUAAACAUUAUACCGAAGCUACGGAUAUGUUCCGGCUAGUAAUAGCUAAGGAACAUGUGGUAGGGGAAGCGUUCUAACAUCGUAGAAGCUAUAGCGGAAGCAGUAGUGGAGAGGUUAGAAGUGAGAAUGCCGGUGUAAGUAACGAAAAGAUAGAUGAGAAUUCUAUCCGUCGAAAACCCAAGGUUUCCAGGGGCAGGGUCGUCCGCCCUGGGUUAGUCAGGAACUAAGGCGAGGCAGCAAUGCGUAGUCGAUGACCAGCAGGCUAAAAUUCCUGCACUAAAAAAAUCACUGAUGGAGGGACAAAAGAGGAUAAGCACGCCCUUUAUUGGAUUAGGGUCGAAAAAUCGAGUUUGAGAAGAUAGGCAAAUCCGUCUUCUUACUUGCCAAAAAAUGAGAUUUGAGGGUAACGUGACUGUGUUCAUAUUUUCUAGAAAAGCUUCUAGGGUUAAUGAUUUUUUUACCUGUACCGUAAACCGACACAGGUGGGAAGGUAGAGUAUACUAAGACGCGCGAGAAAACUCUUGUUAAGGAACUCGGCAAAAUGACUCCGUAACUUCGGGAUAAGGAGAGCUUUUAUGAUAAAAAGUAAAAGCCGCAGAGAAUAGGCCCAAGCGACUGUUUAUCAAAAACACAGGUCUCUGCUAAACCGUAAGGUGAUGUAUAGGGGCUGAUGCCUGCCCGGUGCUGGAAGAUUAAGAGGAGAUGUUCGGGCUUGCCCAAAGCAUUGAAUUGAAGUCCCAGUGAACGGCGGCCGUAACUAUAACGGUCCUAAGGUAGCGAAAUUCCUUGUCGGGUAAAUUCCGACCUGCACGAAAGGCAUAACGAUUUGGGCGCUGUCUCAACAAGAGUCUCGGUGAAAUCAAAUUACCGGUGAAAAUGCCGGUUACCCGCGACAGGACGAAAAGACCCCAUGGAGCUUUACUGUAGCUUAAUAUUGGAAUUGGAAAUCUCAUGUACAGGAUAGGUGGGAGACAGAGAACUUUAGACGCUAGUUUAAAGGGAGUCACCGGUGGGAUACCACUCUUGAGAUUUUUAGUUUCUAACCUGCAUAAGUGGAUUAUGAGGGACAGUGUUUGGUGGGCAGUUUGACUGGGGCGGUCGCCUCCUAAAAAGUAACGGAGGCGUUCAAAGGUUCCCUCAAAAUGGUCAGAAAUCAUUUUUAGAGCGUAAAGGUAUAAGGGAGCUUGACUGUGAGACCUACAAGUCGAGCAGGGACGAAAGUCGGACUUAGUGAUCUUGCGGUACCGAAUGGAAGGGCCGUGACUCAACGGAUAAAAGCUACCCUGGGGAUAACAGCCUUAUCGCCCCCGAGCGUUCACAGCGACGGGGCGGUUUGGGACCUCGAUGUCGGCUCAUCGCAUCCUGGAGCUGGAGCAGGUUCCAAGGGUUGGGCUGUUCGCCCAUUAAAGCGGUACGCGAGCUGGGUUCAGAACGUCGUGAGACAGUUCGGUCUCUAUCCGUCGUGGGCGUUGGAAAUUUGCGAGGAACUGUCCCUAGUAUGAGAAGACCGGGAUGGAUAUACCGCUGGUGCACCAGUUGGUUCGCCAGAGCCAUAGCUGGGUAGCUAUGUAUAGUAUGGAUAAACACUGAAAGCAUCUAAGUGUGAAGCCUCCCUCAAGAUGAGAUUUCCCUAAGAGAUCCCUGAAAGACGAUCAGGUUGAUAGGCUAGAAGUGGAAGAGUAGUGAUAUUUGGAGCUGACUAGUACUAAUAGAUCCAACGACUUUGAUGA